rnacentral:rRNA from 1 species
GAUGAACGCUGGCGGCGUGCCUAAUACAUGCAAGUCGAGCGAACAGACGAGGAGCUUGCUCCUUUGACGUUAGCGGCGGACGGGUGAGUAACACGUGGGUAACCUACCUAUAAGACUGGGAUAACUUCGGGAAACCGGAGCUAAUACCGGAUAAUAUUUCGAACCGCAUGGUUCGAUAGUGAAAGAUGGCUCUGCUAUCACUUAUAGAUGGACCUGCGCCGUAUUAGCUAGUUGGUAAGGUAACGGCUUACCAAGGCAACGAUACGUAGCCGACCUGAGAGGGUGGUCGGCCACACUGGAACUUAGACACGGUCCAGACUCCUACGGGAGGCAGCAGUAGGGAAUCUUCCGCAAAGGGCGAAAGCCUGACGGAGCAACGCCGCGUGAGUGAUGAAGGUCUUCGGAUCGUAAAACUCUGUUAUUAGGGAAGAACAAACGUGUAAGUAACUGUGCACGUCUUGACGGUACCUAAUCAGAAAGCCACGGCUAACUACGUG